CUGAGCUCACGUCUCCCUCUCCUCUCUCUGAGCUCACAUCUCCUCUCUCUCUCUUAUGUAUAGGAUGCUUGUCAUUGGAUGUAGGAUCCUUCUAAAUCCGGGACAGUCUCAUCUCUGGAUCCUUAACCCAGUACAUCUGCAAUGACAUCGAUUUCCAAAUACGGUCCCAUCACAGGCCCUGGGGUGUGGGCAUGGUCAGUGGUUCUGGGGGCCUCCCUUCAGCCCACUCUCCCCACUCAUCAUUCAGGGGGAAGCUCAGUGGCCCCGGCUACCCCUGCCGCCCACUCAAGCAAUGCCCACUUCUUCGCUACUCUUUUUUCUUUAUGGAGCUCAUUUAUUUCUGAGAUUAACACGCCUCACCUACUGCCAGGUUACCUGGAGGGCAGGGACAUGGUGUAUUUACUCUGAGCUGUGUCCUUGGUCCACGGUGCCGUCUCGGGAAGGCCUGCUGAGUGGGCGAGCGAGUCUCCCUGGGCUGAGGGUUUGCACAUGGGCGGUGGGUGGGCCAGAGCCCUCUCCCCAUCUCAGGAGGGCACACUGGUUCCAGACCCCACCUGUGACGGCCUCUCUACAGGGAUUUCCACCCCGGAUCACGGUCACCCCCUUCCCUAGGACCCGGCCUGUGCUUUUCUCCUGCUUUGAGAAGGCCUGGUGAGCCCCUUGCCCCAUGAGGGGUGGCAGGUGCGAGUGUCUUGUGGCGGAAUUUCAGGAUCUCCCUCCAUAGGCCCUAAGUCCUGGCGACUAAGCACAUCCUUCAAGAUCGUUCUGAGAAGGUGGCGUAGGCUAGGGUGGGGGUGGCUGAGAAGGGAGGGCCGUGGGGAACGUUUUCCUCUUCCCUGCCCUCAGAAACACAAUCUCCCAUCCGGAGUGAGCAGCUCCUGGUGGCUGGGCAGUGCCUGGCUCUGGCAUUCUAGUCCAGGACGGGGGCCCCUGUGCGGCAGGCCAGGCUCCCUGACCCCGGACCCCGGUCUUCCCCACGCCCUCCCCUGCAGUGCAGGGCUCCACACAGCCAAUUCUCUCUCCUCGCAGUGAGGCACUGAGGCAGGAGGGAGGGUGACAACCUAGACCCGAAGUGAGCCAGUUGCCCAAGGAGAGAAAAGCUGCUCAGGUUUUGGGGUGACUGGGGCGGGGGUAGAGGGCACGAGGCUGGCUCAGGGCCCUGGGGAGCAGGGACUCCUACUGUGGAUUAAUUUGCUGCACACCUGCAAAUUAGCUGGGUGUGGCUUCUGUCUGCCUGUGUACUGGGUGCUGCCUCGUGUGAGCUGAGGACGAGGAAGGGAGGGCAGAGGUGGAGGAGGGACACACUGGUCGACAGGGCGGCUGCAGCUCUGAGGCCAGGGCUCCAGGAAUUCAGGCUUGCUCUGGGGUCUUUGAUCUCUGUGUUCUGGGGGCUGCAGGAGCCUCGCUCACAUCCUGACACCCCCUUAGCUCCAGUCCCUGCUCUAGCCCCAGUUCAGGGAUUGCACUGUGGUGGCUGAAAUCUUGUUUGUCCACCAGGAGGACCCCCCUGGACCGGGGCCAACGGCUGACCCCUCCUCAGCCUUUGUUCUCCUUGUGGUACAUUUGUGACCUCAGUGGCCGGCUCAAUGCCACCUGGGCUGUCCAGGCACGUGGAUGUUCCCGGAGCCCUGGGAAUCACUUUGCCUGCACCUGAAGGGCAGCCAGGACAGAGGGGCCUCUCCUGAGGGCGGUGAGGCCACUUUGCUGUGUCAGAUUCAUGGACUGUAAUGAAAUUCAUCAGAUGAGAAACAGACAAAGGAAAAUACAGUAUGAAAGGUGGAGCCGUGUUCCUCUCCUUUAAAAAGAUUUAAAAAACUGUGAACAGGGCGGAAAUAUUCCUUUGGUCAUGACCCAGCGUUAAAAACGUGUAAAAUCCUGCAUGGUUGCUUCCAGCCCCUCUGUGCUUUUCCUCCAUUCAAGGUACUCGAUUGUUUCUGUAAAAAUAACACAUGCUCAUUACAAAGAAUUUAAUCAAUGCAGAAAUGUGCCAGGAAAAACAUGCCUUCGCCCAGGAAAAGCUGGCACUGGUAUCCAGUGAUCGUGACUCCAGGUGAAUAACGGAGAAGCAGAAACACUGAACACGCUGCAGGUGCUAUUUUCAGUCAGAGUUAAAUUUCAUUCACUUGAGCUUAAGAUGAGAAAAGGAAACUCACGGAGUUUUUUUGACUGGCAAAUGAGUAGUUCUCUGUCAACUUAUUUUUGAGAGUGCUCUCUGAGGCUGUUGUAAAAAGUUUACAAAGCACUGCAAGGUUCGAGUCAUCUUUUAAGCAUAUAUGACACUUUUAGACAUGGCCGUAAAACAUGAAGAAUUCGUGUGUUGAUUCUUCUGCCUCUUUUCCUCCCACCUUCCGACUUGUUGGUUUUAUCCUUGCUUUUAGAUUGUCCUGCUUUGCAACGCUGGUUUGCACUCUGUGACGGUAAUUCCUGCGCCACUGGGUAUGGGCCGUCUUUCCACGACCCCGUACUCUCGUGAACACAGUGGCUGCCGCUUCUCUAUUCCUGAAGUUGGAUUCCACUCUGGAUUGCUUUGCCGGCUGGAAUCUGUGUUUUCAGGAAGAGCUCUUGUGUGCUGACGAUCCUUCAUGCUGGAGGGCAAGGAUUAUCAACUGGCAUUAAAACAAUUCCGGGAAUGGCAGACAAGGGGCCACGUCCACAGGGCGCCAGUGCAACCCCGUGAAGAUGACCUUCCGGACACGGGCGUGGUGAGGCGGCUGGAAAUGGAGGCGGCAGCGUGUGCUCGCUCCCUGCCCGGGCUGACCCCGCCGUGCUCGCUCCCUGCCCGGGCUGACCCCGCCGUGCUCGCUCCCUCCCCGGGCUGACCCCGCCGUGCUCGCUCCCUCCCCGGGCUGACCCCGCCGUGCUCGCUCCCUCCCCGGGCUGACCCCGCCGUGCUCGCUCCCUCCCUGGGCUGACCCCGCCGUGCUCGCUCCCUCCCCGGGCUGACCUCGCCGUGCUCGUUCCCUCCCCGGGCUGACCUCGCCGUGGCUCACACUGGUGCGGCCGGACAUCGUUGUUGUGAGGAACUCGACAGACACAGCGCGGCCUGUGGAGAGCGGACACGCCAGACUUCUGGUGAUUUCAGCCUUUAGAGUGACCUGCAGCGUCCAGAUAGCGGCAGAGGUGGAGCUGAGAACACCAGGCAGAGCAACGCGACCGUCCAGCCACCGAGGCGCCUGCAGAACCAGCGUCCGGUGUCCCCUCAGCAGGCCGGACUCUGCUUGGUGGCACGACAGCCCAGGGCCACGGGUGGCGCUCGGUGGGUUCUGCUUUCCACAGACCUGCUGCCCGGGACAGUUUUUAGGUCAGUUCAGGCCUGAGUAUUCGCUGAGUCAAAACAGUGUGAAACAGAAUGGAGGGGACCGCGCACCGAUCUAGGCAGGCAGCGGUGAGGGGUGUGUGCCGGGUGUCCACGCGGGUGUGGGCUGUGUGAGUGUUCGCACAAGGAAGG